rnacentral:misc_RNA from 1 species
GGUUCAGAGAACACGCAAGCUCAGAACUACACAUCACCAAAAUUGGAGCAAGUUUGGGGGUACAUAUCCGCUCAUACAGUGGAGGAUUUAUUUCUCGAUUCUACGAGCUUUUUAACUAGAGUUCGACCGGGAAGUCAAUUACGGAUAGAAAUGAGCAUCCUGUCUUCACCAUCAAGUUUAGUAGGGCUCCACGGGUGCGCGGAACUUGGCACCAGCGUAGACAGCAGCCGCACCAAGCUCCUCCUCAAUCCUAAGAAGCUGGUUGUAUUUGGCAAGGCGCUCUGAUCGGCAGGGUGCUCCAGUCUUGAUCUGACCCGUGGCCAAACCAACAGCCAAAUCAGCAAUGAAGGUAUCCUCAGUCUCACCACUCCUGUGGCUGGUCAUCACACCCCAGCCAGCACGCUUUGACAUCUUCACGGCCUCAAUACUCUCAGUGACAGAUCCAAUUUGGUUAACCUUCAGCAGAAGAGCAUUGCAUGACUUCUCCUGGAUUGCCUUUGCCACCCUUGUUGGGUUGGUGACAAGGAGGUCAUCACCGACAAUCUGCACUUGCUCUCCAAUUUCAGCGGUCA